CAUAGGAACUACUCUACAUCAUCAUAUGGGGUAACUACUACAUAGGAACUACUCUACAUCAGUGGAGUUUGCCUUUUCACGAAGAUGCUGGAAGUCUCGAUGAUGUUAUCAGACUGCACUGAACACCCACGUGAUAUAACAGAGCCAUAGCACAAGUCACAUGGACUUCUAAAGGAAGAAUUAACGAAAACAAAACAAAAAACUUUUAAGAAGAAAAAAAGUUUGAUGUUGGAAAUUAAUAAUUUAAGAUUUUUAAGACCAG